GUGGGUGGGCCUCACCCAAUCAGUGAAGGUCUGAAUAGAAUAAAAUGCUGACCUGCUCCCAUAUUCCUCCUGCCUGACUGCCUUUGAGCUGGGACAUGGGUUUUUUCCUGCCAUGAGAUUCAAAUUAAGACGUUAGCUCUUCUUCGAUCUCAAGGCUGCUGACCUUUGGAACUACACCACUGCUCUCCUGGAUCUCGAGCUUCCUGACUGCCGAUCUUGGGACUUCUCAGCCUCCAUAAUCAGAUCACAAGCCUGAGGGAGCAGACUCUGAUCCAUGGAGAAGUCCCACCUGUCGCCCCAGCAAAGUGAGACACACGAUAACUUCCUCGAGGUGAAACUGGGGAUUCCUCUUUCUCUUUCACCUUUGUGGAGAAAAGUGUUUAAGUUGCUGGAAGGCAGAGCUGGAAGGUUGGAAAGACCCUCUGCACAAAUGAGCGUUUCCUGAAGACUUGGAGAUGAAAGUGAUUCUGUAGGUUUGCACAAGGCUGUGCUUCCUUCCUGCUCCCUUCACACAAUGGCUCUUCAGUCUGCAUUACAUCACUGCCCUGCCUUUUGGCUGCUCUAAAUUAACUGCUGGGAAUCAAGAAUCCAUUUCCACUGUAGAGAUGUUCAUCUCACUGUACAGAAGCAUGGCUAAGAGCUUCAAGAGGGAUCCCAGCUCCACCAGCGACCAGUUUUGUGACCUAGAUCAAACUGCUUAACCUCACUAAGUCUUGGCUGGGACCACUUGAAAUGGGGUUAGCAGGGUGACCCCCACUCUCUUUUCCCCCUCACUUCCUCCCUGAAUCACCAUUUGCUGUUUCUGGCCUCAAGAAGAUCCAGGCAGGGAGGAAGGAGCAGGAACCUGGCAAAAAGUUCUGACUUGCUUAGUGCUGUGGUAAAAUGAUCCCGUGCCCCCUGGGACAACAAGAUUGCUCAAGCUGACACUGUCUCUCGUGAGUGUUUUCAUGGGUUCUCUGGAAACCUGCUCCUGGGAUUCUCCAAAUAUAACUUUGUCAGGAGCACAGCCUUCUUCAUCAGGCCCUACUCAAUCCCCGUGGGCUUCUGUUCUCAGGACUCUCCACAGAUAGGAUCUCCAGGACAAUAUUCCAGCCAAGGGUACCUUAGCUGGGUCAUGUCCCUUGACCUUCAGAGGGCAGGGUCGGAAGUUCUCAGAGGUAGGCCGUGCUCUGCUGGGACAGCCACUUUGGUUUGCUUAGGUUUGUGUCAGGCACCUAUUCUGACCUAUAGCUACAGAGAUUAGAGCUAGCUCAAAGGAGAAGGUACUCCCAACUCCAGCCCUUGGAGAGUAUUGGGGCUUCCAGCAAAACUCUUUCCACAAAAAUCCUCCUCACAAAUCAUCUCCUAAUUUGAGUGUUCUUGACCCUUUAAUAUCCUUCAUCUAGGUGAGAGUCACUAGGGUAAGGAAUCCAAGAGAUAAAACUGGUCUAGAAUAUAUCUUUUGAAAUGUGUACAUGGAUGAUCUUCUCAUAGGUGAAUUUGUAUCUAACAUUUAUUGCAUCUAUUAAAAAAUUGAGAUAUAAUUCAUAAACCACAAGAUUCCCUUGUUUAAAGUGUACAAUUCAGUGGAUUUCAGUAUGUUCCCGAGGUUGGGCAACCAUCACCACUAUCUACUUCCAGAACAUUACCAUCACCCUAAAAAAGAAUCCUCACUCUCAUUAGCAGUCACUCCUCAUUCUCCUCUCCCCACAUCCCUGAAAACUACUGAUCUACUUUCUGUCUCUAUGGAUUUUCCUAUUCUGGACAUUUCGUAAACAUGGAAUCAUAUAAGACAUGACUUCUUUCACUUAGCAUAGUAUUUUCAAGGUUCAUCCAUAUUGUAGUACAUAUCAGUAUUUCUUUUCUUAUUAUGGCUGAAUAAUACAUUGUAUAGAUAUGCCUCAUUUUGUUUAUUCAUUCAUCAGUUGGUGGGUAUCUGGGUUAUUUUGAUUUUUUUUGGCUAUUAUGAACAAUAUGUACUAGUUUUUGUGUGGACAUGUGUUUUCAGUUCACUUGGGUAUAUAUCUAAGACUGAUAUUGCUAAGUGACAUUGUAACUCUGUGUUGAAUCUUUUGAGGAACUACCAGACUAUGUUUCAAAUGGCUAUACCGUUUUAUAAUCCCAAAUGUAUGCGGGUUCUGAUUUCUCUGCAUCCUUGUCAACACUUGUUAUUGUCUGUCUUGUUUAUUAUAGCCGUCCAAGUGGAUGUGAAAUGGUAUCUUAUUGUAAUUUUGAUUCGCAUUUCUCUAAUGACUAAUGAUGUUGACCAUCUUUCAUAUGCUUAUUGGCCAUUUGCAUAUCUUCUUUGGAGAAAUGUCUAUUCAAAUCCUUUGCCCAUUUUUUAAUUGGGUAAUUUGUCUUUUAUUGUUGACUCAUAAGAGUUCCUUAUGAAGUCUUAAUACUAGACUCUUAUCAGAUACAUGAUUUGCAAAUAUUUUCUCCCAUUCUGUGGGUUGUCUUUUCACUUUCUUAAUAGCAUUCUUUGAGGCAUAAAGGUUUUUAAUUUUGAUGAAGUCCAAUCUAUCUAUUUUUUCUUGUUUGCUUGUGUUUUAGGUGUCGUAUCUAAGAAAGCAUUGCUUAAUCCAAGGUCACAAAGAUUUACACCUAUGUUUUCUUUUAAGGGUUUUAUUAUUUUACCUGUUACUUUGAAGUCUUUGGUCCAUUUUGAGUUAAGUUUUUCUAUGUGGUGUGAGAAUGUAUUGCAUCUUGACACCACAUUAAAAUGUCCAACUCAGCAUCCUGUUACAAAAGUACAUCAAUUAUAUUUUUGUAAAUAAGAGGUGGCAAAAAAAAAAAUCCAUGC
ensembl:lncRNA